rnacentral:rRNA from 1 species
GAUGAACGCUGGCGGCGUGCUUAACACAUGCAAGUCGAACGAUGAAGCCCAGCUUGCUGGGUGGAUUAGUGGCGAACGGGUGAGUAACACGUGAGUAACCUGCCCUUGACUCUGGGAUAAGCCUGGGAAACUGGGUCUAAUACCGGAUAGGAACGUCCACCGAAUGGUGGGUGUUGGAAAGAUUUAUCGGUCAUGGAUGGACUCGCGGCCUAUCAGCUUGUUGGGGAGGUAAUGGCUCACCAAGGCGACGACGGGUAGCCGGCCGGGGAGGGUGACCGGCCACACUGGGACUGAGACACGGCCCAGAAUCCUACGGGAGGCAGCAGUGGGGAAUAUUGCACAAUGGGCGAAAGCCUGAUGCAGCGACGCCGCGUGAGGGAUGACGGCCUUCGGGUUGUAAACCUCUUUCAGUAGGGAAGAAGCGAAAGUGACGGUACCUGCAGAAGAAGCACCGGCUAACUACGUGCCAGCCGCCGCCGUAA